rnacentral:rRNA from 1 species
CCGUCUCGUGACUGCGGAGGAUCAUUACUGAGUCUUGAAUGGGUUGUAGCUGGCCUUCAUCUGGCAUGUGCUCACCCUGCUCAAAAUCCACUCUACAACUGUGCACUUACUGUGGGUCCUUGGGCUUUUUAGAUGGGCUCAAAGCUUUGUUGCUUGGGUUUUCUAAAUUGUCUGGGCUCAUGUCUUUAUCACACAAACACUGUAGUAUUGAGAAUGUGUAUUGCUGUAAUGCAUCUAUAUACAACUUUCAGCAACGGAUCUCUUGGCUCUCGCAUCGAUGAAGAACGCAGCGAAAUGCGAUAAGUAAUGUGAAUUGCAGAAUUCAGUGAAUCAUCGAAUCUUUGAACGCACCUUGCGCUCCUUGGUAUUCUGAGGAGCACACCUGUUUGAGUGUCAUGAAAUUCUCAACCUUGCAUGCCUUUUGUGGUUUGUUAGGCUUGGAUAUUGGAGGGUUUGUGUUGGCAUCUGGUCAACUCCUCUUAAAUGCAUUAGCUUGGUCCUUUGCAGAUCGGCUCUUGGUGUGAUAAACUGUUUAUGCCAUGACCGUGAAGUUUGGUAAGCUUAUAAUUGUCUCGGUGAGGAGACAGCUUUUGUUGACAUCUGGGCCUCAAAUCAGGUGGGAUUACCCGCUGAACUUAAGCAUAUCAAAAACCGGGAAGAAAACCCG